AGUGAACGCUGGCGGCGUGCCUAAUACAUGCAAGUCGAACGGAGUGGCGCACGGGUGAGUAAUAUAGCUAAACAGCUCCUUGCUGGAGGAAAACAGUUAGAAAUGACUGCUAAUACUCCAUAGCAAGGGAUGAGUCUAUAGCGUAUCAGCUAGUCGGUGGGGUAACGGCCUACCGAGGCUAUGACGCGUAACAGGUCUGAGAGGGCGAGCAGUCAAAUUGGAAAGGAGACACGGGCCAAACUCCUACGGGAGGGAGCAGAAGGUAAUAUGGCGCAAUGGGGGAAACCCUGACGCAGCAACGCAGCGUGGAGGAUGACUCUUUUCGGAGAGUAAACACCUUUUGUUAGGGACGCGGUACCUAACGAAUAAGCACCGGCUAACUCCGUGCCAGCAGCCGCGGUAAUAC
rnacentral:rRNA from 1 species